GACGAACGCUGGCGGCAGGCCUAACACAUGCAAGUCGAGCGCCCCGCAAGGGGAGCGGCGGACGGGUGAGUAACGCGUGGGAAUUUUUCCUGGAGUACGGAACAACCGAGGGAAACUUCGGCUAAUACCGUAUGAUGCCGAGAGGCCAAAGAUUUAUCGCUCUGGGGUGAGCCCGCGUCAGAUUAGGUAGUUGGUGGGGUAAUGGCCUACCAAGCCUGCGAUCUGUAGCUGGUCGAGAGGACGAUCAGCCACACUGGGACUGAGACACGGCCCAGACUCCUACGGGAGGCAGCAGUGGGGAAUCUUGCGCAAUGGGCGAAAGCCUGACGCAGCCAUGCCGCGUGAGUGAAGAAGGUCUUAGGAUUGUAAAGCUCUUUUCGCUCGUGACGAUGAUGACGGUAACGAGAGAAGAA
rnacentral:rRNA from 1 species